CCCUAAAAGGCUUUCCGGGUCCAGCGAAAUCUCCCACCAAAGAUCCAGCAGGCAAACCUGCGCUUCUCAACCCUCCCCCCACCGUUAACCUUCAGCUCUCGAACCCUCCUCCCUUCCACACGCUGGGCGAAGCGGGGAGGAGGCGGCGGCGGCUGCGUAUCUCCCAGCGCUCUCCUCUGCUGAUUGAGAGGUCCCCCAUCUGCUUCCGAUCUGCGAGCUUUUACCUCGGUCUCCUCGGCUUGCGUUGCGUCCAUGAACCGGACAGGAUCGGGGGCGGGGGUCGCCUUCCUUUCCUCCCUCUUCGUCCUGGCCACAGCAGCGACUCAAGGGAGGCGGGGGUCGCCCUCUCCUGCGUCCUUGUAGCAAGCGACAUUGUUAAAUGAAGAGAAAGAGAAAACCCAUCAACAACUGAGGACUCAAAUCCUUUGGAGACAAAAGACUGGAAAAGCCAGAGGAAACAACCCUGCUUUUGUUUGUUUUGCUGGUGUGUUAAAUCUGUUGUAAAUGGAGCAUAAAGCUUGUCAUAUUACCUUAAAAUGAACAGGUUUCAUUUUAAAAAAAGAGAAGAAAAGAAACAGCUUUGAAGUACACUAGCCCUGUGCUGCCUUUAACAGCAUAACAAGAAUAAGCAAAUUCAUUAAAAAUAUUAACAUCAGAUACAUCUAAAUCAUUUAUUAAAUCCACAGCCUGAUCCUAGCCACAGUUGUUGUCAUGCAGCCACCAUGGAUACCUGAUCUGUGCCCUCAUUGGAAAAACUGGUGCAUGGAUCAUCAUCAUCAUGAUGAUGAUGAUCAUCAUGAUGACCAUCAAUCAUGCUUUGCACCCCCGCAAUGAUGUCGAUAGGCUAUACCUCCCUCGCAGCUCAGGUGGAAGAGGAAUGCUGCAAGUCCAUCAAACAGUAGAGGAGGAGAAAAGAGGCCUUGAAGAAUAUAUCAAGGACAGUGAAGAAGAUGCACUUCAAAUGGUCAAUAAUGAGAAACUAUUCAACACCAAUGAAAGAAAGCAGGCUUACAAGAAAGAACAAGUCAAGAACCAAGCAGAAAAAUAAGCCACUGCAUGGUCAAUAUUUGCACAAUAUAAGUGGAAAAUCAGACAUCACCAAGGCCUCCAGUGAGGCCAAUUAGGCUCUAUGGAAGAUAAAUUAAUUUUACUUCCAGUAAAAGUGUAUUUGAGAGUUAUUUAUCUUGUAAUAUAGACAUGUGUCUUAACUUUAAAGUGAGCCUUCAAAGAACUUGUAAAUUUAAGAAGAGGGAGUUGACUGGAAAAGGGAUUAGUUUUCAAAGAGGAACAUUUUUGGUAAAAGAAAAAGACUUGCGCCACUCACAGGCUUUCCAUAAGGAUAGACUGAAAUAAGCUCUAAAUAAAUGUGUGGAUUUCUGUUCUGUGGCAGCUGCUGAACUACACAGUGGAGAAUUCAAGUCUAAGCAGAGAACUCAGUUUGAGACCUAUGGAAGAGACUGAGACAUGAAGCUGCCUCGCUGAUCCCUGAGACUACCUUUGUGUCCAUAGCCUUUGAGAGGGGAUGGCAGAGUGGCUCUCUAGGGGCAAACCCAGAUAGAAGAAGGUCUAUGGAGGGCAGUUUGCCAAGGUUCCCCUAAAACCUGCUGUUUCCACAAGAGAUACCUACUUGCUGCAGCAGGGGAGGAAAGGAUAAACAAUGGAACUGAAGAAGGACUGAGGCAGCAGUAGCCAUGGCUACCUAUUCAUAAUUUUUAUGGACAGUUCAUAUUUGGGGAUUCUGUCUACAAGAAACAGAAGGCUCUAUUAUCAAUUAAUAUUUCCUGCAAAAUUACCUAAAUAGGCUUCAAUUAGUAGACUUAACUACUACUACUACUACUACUACUACUACUACUACUUCUUCUUCUUCUUCUUCUUCUUCUUCUUCUUCUUCUUCUUCUUCUUCUUCUUCUUCUGUGUUUGAGUGGGGAAAGAGCUUCUGGAGAAAGCCAAAAUAAAUACUAAGUAUGGUAGCUUUUUUUAAAAAGGGACUAACAAGUAGUUUGUUUUGUGAAACAAAAUGGAUUGUGAUAUGAUUUUGUUUGUCAUUGUCCCCCCUGAAUUUAGCAUGGGAUAAUAAAGGACUAAAAUGAC